ACAGCAGUAGCCACGGUAAUACGUAGGUGGCAAGCGUUGUCCGGAAUUAUUGGGCGCAAAGGGCUCGCAGGCGGUUUCUUAAGUCUGAUGUGAAAGCCCCCGGCUCAACCGGGGAGGGUCAUUGGAAACUAGGAAACUUGAGUGCAGAAGAGGAGAGUGGAAUUCCACGUGUAGCGGUGAAAUGCGUAGAGAUGUGGAGGAACACCAGUGGCGAAGGCGACUCUCUGGUCUGUAACUGACGCUGAGAGACGAAAGCUAGGGGAGCAAAUGGGAUUAGAUACCCGCGUAGUCCCUGUCUCUUAUAC
rnacentral:rRNA from 1 species